GUUCCGUUUUCGCGCCAUCUGAUAAAAAUUGGAGUUUGAAAAAAUUUCAAAAUCAAAAAUUUUUUUUUAGAUAACUGCUAUUGUCUGUGCAAUUUUUUUUUUUUGUGAAAAAGAAAUAAAAAAAGUGGGAUUCCACAUACUCCUAAACGGCCUUGGAGGCUACCUUAUAUCCUGAUUACGAACAGUGCAAAUUCCUUCCCAGAAUUUCUUUUGCGGCUAUCCUAAUGGCACAAAGCUCUUCCUGUGCAUCGUCCGUCUUAUCGACAUACGGAUGUUGUGUAUGUCUGAAUAUAGUCCCAAUCCAUUCUUUGUCUUUAUCUUGGAGGCAUCUAUAAAUAUCGAGGCAUCAUUCUCUUCAAAUAGUAGUCGUUUCCCACUCCUCUCUGCCUGAAAAGUGAGUACAGAAAUCCUUCUUCAAAUCGGUCUCAUCACCAGGUAAUCUAAGCUCUUCCUCAGCAUGCUCGCCGCAUCCAUAGUUUCCAGAAGUGAACAUUGACCAUAUUCUGUCACCUUUAGCAUGUCAAGUUUCCUCAGCCUAAGCGCACCCUUGACGGCACAGCUCUGCAUAUCCAGCAUUGCGAUCAUUCUCACGAAAUCCCCGUUGAGGUCCGACAGGAAUUCUUUUACCAUUUGGUUCCAGAGAACCGGCGAGAAAGCCCUUUCCCGAGGCGUUCCGUGUCAUUUGAACAUACUAUCUCCGAAGUCCGCGUUGAUAAUCCUGUCACAUAGCCAGUGUUGCCUGGGCUUUUUCGUGAAAAUCGUCGAAAUAGAGAAAAAAAAUCGUCAAUUUUUCUUGAAAAAACGUCUUAAAUUUGUGAUAACCCAAAUUCGUAUUUUCUUAAGAUUUCACAAUUUUCGGUGUCUAAAAGGCCUGUGGAAGCUCAAAUAAGGAGGGCUGUCGUUUGGUUUACUAUUACUUUCAAUAAAACCCUAAAUAUUCCAAUAUUUAAAAUAAAUAGACAAAAUUUCAAUUAAAUUUUCUUCAAACACAAAAUCAAUAAAAUCUAAUUUUGAGUCAAA